CGUGCUUAACACAUGCAAGUCGCACGAGAACGCUUCAGCUUGCUGAAGUUAGUAAGUGGCGCACGGGUGAGUAACGCGUGGGUAAUCUCCCCCUGAAUUGGGGAUAACAUUGCGAAAGCGAUGCUAAUACCGAAUAAUAUUUUAAAUACCUCGGUAAUUAAAAUCAAAGGUGGCCUCUACAUGUAAGCUACUGUUUGGGGAUGAGCCCGCGUACCAUUAGCUUGUUGGUAGGGUAACGGCCUACCAAGGCUGCGAUGGUUAGCUGGUCUGAGAGGAUGAUCAGCCACACUGGAACUGACACACGGUCCAGACUCCUACGGGAGGCAGCAGUGAGGAAUUUUGCGCAAUGGGGGAAACCCUGACGCAGCAACGCCGCGUGAGUGAUGAAGGCUUUCGGGUCGUAAAGCUCUGUCAAGUGGGAAGAACCCACAUGGUGCUAAUAUCACCAUGUGUUGACGGUACCACUGAAGGAAGCACCGGCUAACUCCGUGCCAGCAGCCGCGGUAAUACGGGGGGUGCAAGCGUUAUUCGGAAUUACUGGGCGUAAAGAGCGCGUAGGCGGUCUUUUAAGUCAGGUGUGAAAGCCCGGGGCUCAACCCCGGAAGUGCACUUGAAACUAAGGGACUUGAGUAUGGGAGAGGGAAGUGGAAUUCCUGGUGUAGCGGUGAAAUGCGUAGAUAUCAGGAGGAACACCGGUGGCGAAGGCGACUUCCUGGACCAAUACUGACGCUGAGGCGCGAAGGCGCGGGGAGCAAACAGGAUUAGAUACCCUGGUAGUCCACGCAGUAAACGGUGAACACUAGGUGUAGCGGGUAUUGACCCCUGCUGUGCCGCAGCAUACGCAUUAAGUGUUCCGCCUGGGGAGUACGGCCGCAAGGUUAAAACUCAAAGGAAUUGACGGGGGCCCGCACAAGCGGUGGAGCAUGUGGUUUAAUUCGACGCAACGCGAAGAACCUUACCUGGA
rnacentral:rRNA from 1 species